UAUUAAGAUAAAACCCUUAGUUAAAUUUCUUAAGCACUCCCAUCCCAAUUCAUUCUUCCCUCAUACACUGCUAUCUCCCGCUAUAGGAAUUUUGAACCCGCCGCGCUCAGCCGUAGCUUCCGUUCUCGCUCGCCGCCCCUCUCCGUUGUUAUCGCGCACCGCUGUAGUCUUGUCGUCUGUGCGGCUAGAUUAUUUCUUCUCAUACCCACUCUCUGCCGCUCUAAAUAAUCGAACCCGCCGCCUCAAACCCUAGCCACGCGGUUCUCGCCGCCCUCUUCACCAUUCUCGCGCUCAAACCCUCUUCGUCCGGUCAAACCGCCACUCCCCGUCUCAAGCAGGCAUAGUCGCACAUCCGCCCUCUGCCUCGGCCGUCGGCCUCUUCCCCAUUGCCAACCGCCGCCCUCCUUCUCUGUCUUCACUUCUACACGUCCGUUGUGCUGCCGUCACUGCUCCGCUUUUUUGAUGCUCCAUUGUUCGCUGCUCUGUUCUAGCGACCGUGUUGAAAACAAGGGUUAUUCAUCGCUCCUGUCGUGUACAGUAAUGGACAUCAAUAGUUCUGUGACGAAUGUCUGAUAUAUUUAAGUAGCAAUUUUAAUGUGGGCAAGGUGACUUUGCAAAUUAUUUCCGAAGAAAGAUAGUACAUCAAAUAUGGUAGAGGGUUGUCAUAAAUUUUGGGUAUAUAUGUUUGUAAACAGGGAUAAAUGGUGGAAGGGGAUGUUUGGUGGCUGUGAAGAGGCUCAAGGAUGUCACCAUUUUGGAGAACGAAUUCAAGGACAAGAUUGAGAGUGUUGGAGCUAUGGAUCAUCACAAUUUGGUGCCUCUUAGAGCUUACUACUAUAGUAGGGAGGAGAAGCUUCUUGUCUAUGAUUAUAUGCCAAUGGGAAGCCUCUCUGCACUCUUACAUGGUUGUCAAUGAUUUGCUGAACCUGCUGGACAAAAUUUGAGAAUGAGAGAAGAUGCACAGGGAACCUUUGUUGAAGGAGUUAAGGAGGAAGUUAUAGUAUCCUCGAUACUAAUUUCAGGUUAUAGCAAGAGGUGUAGAGUGUGAUUUAGCUCUUAUUUUUUGGUGAAAGCAAGGAGUUAUGAGAAGGCACCGAGCCACUGCAUUUCAGAUGCUAGCUUAUGUAAUUUACAGGGGAUUGGUUCGAUUGGAUAUUCACUUUCUCACAUAAUGCUAUUUAGUUUUUAGAUGCCACUUGUUUACUCAUGAAAACUAUUUAGUAUUGGUGAGGUAAGACUUUGACAGGAUUUUACUCUUCUCUAUUCCCACGAUUUUGAUAGAAAAUCUUAUAUUCUCAAUUCAAUAUGUUAGAUUUUUUUUAAUUGUUCAUACUAAAUCUAAAUUUUGUGUAGUAAACAUUGGAUCUUAACAAUUAUUGAGCCUUACAAAGAUUGUGUCUAUGUGAUGGAUCCUUUGUCUCAUCGGAAUCGUGAUGCCACUUGGAAAUCCGUAGUUGACACGUACGUUUCUCAUCAUCUUAAUUGCUCUUUCUUCUACUCUUUUCUUUUAUGUGUUUAUUUCACAAGCAUCUCUAUCUUUAUAUAUAUUAGUUAAACUUUCCAGGUCAUACUCAAGUUAGGGACAAAGAAUAGGCACCAUUUACCUUGCUAGGAAAAAAUAUUGAUUUUGCGUAUUAAAAACCUAACGAUAUACAUAUGUUUGUUUUCCAGCGCAAUGGUAAGAAGUUAUAUUAAUUAUUAGUAAUAUAUUAAUAUAGCAUUUUAUGUGAUAUAGGUUUUAUGUGAUGAAUUUGUUUAUUGUCAGUUUAAAAAACGUGAGUAUUCUAUGAGUGAGAUAAAUGAGGUUUGAGAAGAUUGGGCAACUUCUGCCAUUAAUGAGGUUUGUAAUAUCUAAUGAUUAGAAUUUUUAUUAAAUAUAUCUAUGGCUUUAUAGUGUUGUUAAUAUAUAUACUUGUUUUCUUUGUCUUGUAGCUUUGACAUGUGACAUGGAGAAGUUCUUGCGCGUUGAUAUGGCAUUUUGAAAGCUUUUUGGAACAAUUAUAAUUUGUGGGUGUCGUAUGUAGGUGAAUUUUGUUGUUGGGAGAUGUGGUAGAACAUUGGUUCUUAUUUUGUUGUUGUUGUUGGAUGAAUAUUGGUUAUCAAUGUUUAAUUGGUCAUUUUCAGUA